GAUGAAGAACGUAGCGAAAUGCGAUAAGUAAUGUGAAUUGCAGAAUUCAGUGAAUCAUCGAAUCUUUGAACGCACAUUGCGCCCGCCAGUAUUCUGGCGGGCAUGCCUGUUCGAGCGUCAUUACAACCCUCAGGCCCCCGGGCCUGGCGUUGGGGAUCGGCGGAAGCCCCCUGCGGGCACAACGCCGUCCCCCAAAUACAGUGGCGGUCCCGCCGCAGCUUCCAUUGCGUAGUAGCUAACACCUCGCGACUGGAGAGCGGCGCGGCCACGCCGUAAAGCACCCAACUCUUCUGAAGUUGACCUCGAAUCAGGUAGGAAUACCCGCUGAACUUAAGCAUAUCAAUAAGCGGAGGA
rnacentral:misc_RNA from 1 species